rnacentral:rRNA from 2 species
GGGGAAUAUUGCACAAUGGGGGAAACCCUGAUGCAGCAACGCCGCGUGAAGGAUGAAGGUUUUCGGAUUGUAAACUUCUUUAGUCAGGGACGAAUAAAUGACGGUACCUGAAGAAUAAGCCACGGCUAACUACGUGCCAGCAGCCGCGGUAAUACGUAGGUGGCGAGCGUUGUCCGGAAUUACUGGGCGUAAAGGGUGUGCAGGCGGAUAUUUAAGUGAGAUGUGAAAGACCCGGGCUUAACCCGGGCAGUGCAUUUCAAACUGGAUAUCUAGAGUGCAGGAGAGGAGAACGGAAUUCCUAGUGUAGCGGUGAAAUGCGUAGAGAUUAGGAAGAACACCAGUGGCGAAGGCGGUUCUCUGGACUGUAACUGACGCUGAGGCACGAAAGCGUGGGUAGCAAACA